rnacentral:rRNA from 1 species
CCUACGGGAGGCAGCAGUGGGGAAUAUUGGACAAUGGGGGGAACCCUGAUCCAGCCAUGCCGCGUGUGUGAAGAAGGCCCUCGGAUUGUAAAGCACUUUCAGUGAGGAAGAACGCCUGGUGGUUAAUACCCAUCAGGAAAGACAUCACUCACAGAAGAAGCACCGGCUAACUCCGUGCCAGCAGCCGCGGUAAUACGGAGGGUGCGAGCGUUAAUCGGAAUUACUGGGCGUAAAGCGCGCGUAGGUGGCUUGAUAAGCCGGUUGUGAAAGCCCCGGGCUCAACCUGGGAACGGCAUCCGGAACUGUCAAGCUAGAGUGCAGGAGAGGAAGGUAGAAUUCCCGGUGUAGCGGUGAAAUGCGUAGAGAUCGGGAGGAAUACCAGUGGCGAAGGCGGCCUUCUGGACUGACACUGACACUGAGGUGCGAAAGCGUGGGUAGCAAACAGGAUUAGAUACCCUAGUAGUC